rnacentral:tRNA from 1 species
GGUUGUGUGGCUUAGUGGUAGAGUGUUUGCCUCACAUGCAUGAGGUACUGGGUUCGAUCCUCAGCAUCACAU